GAUUUUUCUAAUCUUGAUCUGUGCUCAUAUACAACUUGUAGCUGGGCCGAGAGGGACUCCUGGUGCUGCUGGUACUUGAGCGCCGUGGCCUCAGCCUUCCGCAGCUGGCUCUGCAGCUCGUAGUACAGCAUCGCCCCGUAGAUGAAGCUGAACACCACAGUCAGCAGCACGAGGGUCUGGAAAAUCCGCUUCUGCUUUCGGGAGCACAUCCCGUUGCCCAUGUCCCCGGCGGGGUCCCGGCGCCCCCGCCCCUCACGGCACAGCGGAGGGAGGCGGCGGGCGGCGGCGAUGAGGCGGAGACAUCGGCGGCCCCGGGCCCGCGCCGGGGGUGGCGAGGAGGCGGGGAGCGGCCGGCCGAGCGCCUCAGCCCCGGGGCACCGCCGCGACGCCCCGGGCGGCCUCGUGCAGCCUGCGGGCCCCGCGCCUCCAGGCGGAGCCGGCCCGCAUGCUGCGCCGCCCGGGCGGCGGGAGGGAGCGGCCCCCGGCGCUGUGGCUGCGAGGCGAGGGGCGGCUCCCUGCUCGCCUCGGGCGGCCCCUCCGGCCCGGUCCGGCCCCGCGGCCACCUGAGAGGAACAAAGGAAACUUCCC
rnacentral:lncRNA from 1 species